CUUUUAUUUCACUGCACUCUCCUUCAUCGAUCAUCAUCGUCAUCAUUUGUCCCAAAUGAAAGCACUUCAUUAACAUAGACUGAAACAAGGCAAGCACCCAAAAAUACUUUCUUACUUUCAACAAAAAUCAUGUUCGGUGUGGUCUUCCCCAACCGGAGCUUUCCUAUGGACAUUUCCACUUUCUCCCAAAUCGACACCUUCCAUUGGAUUCUCGACAUGAACACUUUCGUAGGUGAGGCCUACGAUCAAAUCCGCGAAGUCUGCAUUUUCCUCUUAAACAGUUUCUCUCUUCCCCCGGAGAAAGCCCUAGCCGUCUACAUUCAGUCUCCUGGUUCACCUUUCCAAUUCUGUGGCGCCAUCACUCUAUCACGUCCCUCCGCCGUCC
rnacentral:misc_RNA from 1 species